AUGUUCUGCUUGCUCAUCAACAAUUGCCUAAAUUCUUUGACGUGUACAUUAAAAUCCUUGGUUGCAGAAGUAUUUGAAAACAAAGAAAUGGUAAGGCAUUCACGAGAGAAGUGCCAUUUAGAAACUCCAAGAAAUAAAUACAUGCUCAGGAAAGAACUAUCCCUUCUGGUAUACAUGACCAAGCAAAAACACACGAUAACGGUCAAGGAUUGUAUUAAUUCUCAUCUUGGAGCACGAUUUCAGAUUGUUAGAUUUUUUUUUCUUCCACUCAUGAUGAUACCUUUCUUCUCUUCUUUCAUCUUCUUCUUUGUUUUGCCUAUGCAUAUUACUACUAUUAUUUAA
rnacentral:rRNA from 1 species